AUUGAACGCUGGCGGUAGGCCUAACACAUGCAAGUCGAACGGCAGCACAGUAAUAGCUUGCUCUUACGGGUGGCGAGUUGCGGACGGGUGAGGAAUACAUCGUAAUCUACUUUUUCGUGGGGGAUAACGUAGGGAAACUUACGCUAAUACCGCAUACGACCUACGGGUGAAAGCAGGGGAUCUUCGGACCUUGCGCGAUUGAAUGAGCCGAUGUCGGAUUAGCUAGUUGGCGGGGUAAAGGCCCACCAAGGCGACGAUCCGUAGCUGGUCUGAGAGGAUGAUCAGCCACACUGGAACUGAGACACGGUCCAGACUCCUACGGGAGGCAGCAGUGGGGAAUAUUGGACAAUGGGCGCAAGCCUGAUCCAGCCAUACCGCGUGGGUGAAGAAGGCCUUCGGGUUGUAAAGCCCUUUUGUUGGGAAAGAAAAGCAGCAGGUUAAUACCCCGCUGUUCUGACGGUACCCAAAGAAUAAGCACCGGCUAACUUCGUG
rnacentral:rRNA from 1 species